GCCCUGCGGACGGCGUCGAGCCACCAUACGGGCACGCCGCCUCUGCAGCUGCUAAUCAGCGAACUGAGGCGUCCUCAGCCAAGGACAAUAAAGGCUGUUUCCAUCCUGUCAUCCAGUACGACUGAUGGUUACCAUGGAAACUAAACAGACCCAUGGAGAUACAUUGCUGAUCAUCUUCGGCAUGUUCACCUGCUGUUUGGCUGAUAAGAUCCAACAUCUAAAGAGAGAUAUCACAUCUUCAAUAUUCUCCAGACAAGAGGAUGUUAUAUAUUUUUAAUCUAUCUGAAAUUAUUAUUAAUGUAUAUAAAAUAUCUAUAUUUUUACGUAAGGUAAAUAAAUCUGCAAGUUGGAGAAAUUAUGCUGCUAGAUAUUUAAAAAUGUUGGUGGUUCGUAUGGAGCACAAUGUGGUUUUACUUCACCCAAAAUUAAAAAAAGAAAGAACAAUGAGAUUGCUUAAAGUGAACAAAAUUAUUCAUAUUCAACUUCAGUUUUAAAGAGCCAUUCACAUUUUUAUUCAAUGAACAUUACAGAAACAUAUUUCGACAAAACCACGCUUUUAUAUGCCUUAGCACAUAUACAGCAUGUCAUUGUCUUCAAGAUUAUGUGUUGCCAGAAUAAAGCAAAGCAUCCAUCUC